UACGGAGGGUGCAAGCGUUGUCCGGAAUCACUGGGCGUAAAGGGCGCGUAGGCGGCUCAUGAAGGCUGUGGUGAAAGUCCGGGGCUCAACCUCGGAUCGGCCGUGGCGACUCGUGGGCUGGAGCACUGUAGAGGCGGGUGGAAUUCCGGGUGUAGCGGUGGAAUGCGUAGAGAUCCGGAAGAACACCGGUGGCGAAGGCGGCCCGCUGGGCAACUGCUGACACUGAGGCGCGACAGCGUGGGGAGCAAACAGG
rnacentral:rRNA from 1 species